rnacentral:rRNA from 1 species
GAACGCUGGCGGCGUGCCUAACACAUGCAAGUCGAACGGAGAUAAGCGCUGAUGAUUUAGCUUGCUAGAGAUUCUUGUUUAUCUUAGUGGCGGACGGGUGAGUAACGCGUGAGCAACCUGCCUUUCAGAGGGGGAUAACGUCUUGAAAAGGACGCUAAUACCGCAUGAUAUUAUGGAGCCACAUGGCUCUAUAAUCAAAGGAGCAAUCCGCUGAAAGAUGGGCUCGCGUCCGAUUAGGUAGUUGGCGGGAUAACAGCCCACCAAGCCGACGAUCGGUAGCCGGACUGAGAGGUUGAACGGCCACAUUGGGACUGAGACACGGCCCAGACUCCUACGGGAGGCAGCAGUGAGGGAUAUUGGUCAAUGGGGGAAACCCUGAACCAGCAACGCCGCGUGAGGGAUGACGGCCUUCGGGUUGUAAACCUCUGUCCUCUGUGAAGAUAAUGACGGUAGCAGAGGAGGAAGCUCCGGCUAACUACGUGCCAGCAGCCGCGGUAAUACGUAGGGAGCAAGCGUUGUCCGGAUUUACUGGGUGUAAAGGGUGCGUAGGCGGUUUGGUAAGUCAGAAGUGAAAUCCAUGGGCUUAACCCAUGAACUGCUUUUGAAACUAUCGAACUUGAGUGAAGUAGAGGUAGGCGGAAUUCCCGGUGUAGCGGUGAAAUGCGUAGAGAUCGGGAGGAACACCAGUGGCGAAGGCGGCCUACUGGGCUUUAACUGACGCUGAGGCACGAAAGCAUGGGUAGCAAACAGGAUUAGAUACCCUGGUAGUCCAUGCCGUAAACGAUGAUUACUAGGUGUGGGGGGUCUGACCCCCUCCGUGCCGGAGUUAACACAAUAAGUAAUCCACCUGGGGAGUACGACCGCAAGGUUGAAACUCAAAGGAAUUGACGGGGGCCCGCACAAGCAGUGGAGGAUGUGGAUUAAUUCGAAGCAACGCGAAGAACCUUACCAGGUCUUGACAUCCAGCUAACGAAGUAGAGAUACAUUAGGUGCCCUUCGGGGAAAGC